CCGGGUUGCGGACAGUGUCUGGUGGGUAGUUUGACUGGGGCGGUCUCCUCCUAAAGAGUAACGGAGGAGCACGAAGGUUGGCUAAUCCUGGUCGGACAUCAGGAGGUUAGUGCAAUGGCAUAAGCCAGCUUGACUGCGAGCGUGACGGCGCGAGCAGGUGCGAAAGCAGGUCAUAGUGAUCCGGUGGUUCUGAAUGGAAGGGCCAUCGCUCAACGGAUAAAAGGUACUCCGGGGAUAACAGGCUGAUACCGCCCAAGAGUUCAUAUCGACGGCGGUGUUUGGCACCUCGAUGUCGGCUCAUCACAUCCUGGGGCUGAAGUAGGUCCCAAGGGUAUGGCUGUUCGCCAUUUAAAGUGGUACGCGAGCUGGGUUUAGAACGUCGUGAGACAGUUCGGUCCCUAUCUGCCGUGGGCGCUGGAGAACUGAGGGGGGCUGCUCCUAGUACGAGAGGACCGGAGUGGACGCAUCACUGGUGUUCGGGUUGUCAUGCCAAUGGCACUGCCCGGUAGCUAAAUGCGGAAGAGAUAAGUGCUGAAAGCAUCUAAGCACGAAACUUGCCCCGAGAUGAGUUCUCCCUGACUCCUUGAGAGUCCUGAAGGAACGUUGAAGACGACGACGUUGAUAGGCCGGGUGUGUAAGCGCAGCGAUGCGUUGAGCUAACCGGUACUAAUGAACCGUGAGG
rnacentral:rRNA from 1 species